rnacentral:tRNA from 1 species
GCCCCUGUAGCUCAAAGGAUAGAGCAGUAGCCUUCUAAGCUAUUGGUUGUGGGUUCGAAUCCCGCCAGGGGCGCCU